rnacentral:lncRNA from 1 species
GUUAAUCCCAGAUUGUAAAUCCUGCCCUUUGUGAAGCUGAAGGGACUCUCUUGAAACAUGAAGUUGCAAGCAGAGAGCACCCCAAUAUAAAGAAAUUCGUGGAAGAGAAACAAAGCUGAAGUCGCGAGACCCUCCCUGCAGGAGCCACCUUAUGAAAAUUCGUCCGUGCAUGCUGGCUUUGGGGAGAUCAGAAUAGCAAGACCCUCGGUGGCUUCACCUUAUGACAUGGCUCUUGUUGAGCUGCAAUAAUGGCCAGGCAGGGGUAGUAUGUAUUCUUCCCCUCACUGCCUAAGUCUCUAGCAUGACCUCUACUUCAUUCAGCCUCCUGUCCAGCCUUCUUGUC